rnacentral:tRNA from 1 species
ACCUAUGUAGCUCAACUGGAUAGAGCGAUCUUUUAACGAAGGGUCAGAUGUGGGUUCGAAUCCCACCAUGGGUA